UUUAUGGAGAGUUUGAUCCUGGCUCAGGAUGAACGCUGGCGGCGUGCCUAAUACAUGCAAGUCGAGCGAACAGACGAGGAGCUUGCUCCUCUGACGUUAGCGGCGGACGGGUGAGUAACACGUGGAUAACCUACCUAUAAGACUGGGAUAACUUCGGGAAACCGGAGCUAAUACCGGAUAACAUGUUGAACCGCAUGGUUCAACAGUGAAAGACGGUCUUGCUGUCACUUAUAGAUGGAUCCGCGCCGCAUUAGCUAGUUGGUAAGGUAACGGCUUACCAAGGCAACGAUGCGUAGCCGACCUGA
rnacentral:rRNA from 1 species